ensembl:lncRNA
CAAGAGCCUCUUUUCACAGUUUAAGUCAGAGCUCAGAUUGACGACAGCGUGUUUGAGUCUGCAUCAUGACCUCAGACCUGACGGCAGAGCUGGAGCUGGAGCUGGGGGACUUGUUGCAGGAGUUCCAGGAGGUGGUGGAGGUUCUUAAAGCUCCGUCUCAGACCAGAGCUCAGUCCUAUCACCACGUCCUGCAGGAAGCAAAGGGCAGGGCAGGGCAGUGUGAUGACAGUGGAGUGGAAGACUUCGACAGUAGCAGCGAGGCGUCUUUUGGAAACAGUCUGAACAGCAGUGAGGAGGAGCUGAACACAGCAGGUCUAAUGCAGACAGCCAAAGGUACGAGAGCUCUUAUCUCCAUCUCCAUCCUCCGCCUCUACAGCGAUCAGUAUCAGGCUCUGAUCUGGAUCACAGCUCACACCUCUUUACAUCGGAGCCUAAAGCUCUUUUGUUUUUGCACAACAAAACCCUGGCCCUGUCAGAGGAGCCUCGUCUUUCUCCUUUGUGCCGCACGGCUCAUGUGAAUGUAAAAGAUGCAGAAAGGACAAACCUGCCUGACAAAAUGAAAUCAGUGCAUUUGUUUAUCUUUGUCUUGCAUAAUGUUUUUUAUGGUAUUGGUUUGGUAUUUCAACGCAGCUCCAUAAAAAUGUUAAAUCUGAGUCUUUUCCACAGUUUCUCAUAUUUUUCUUCUUUUUCUUUUCAGCCAAGAUGGGAGACACGAGGGAGCUGGAGAGUUUUAUCGACAUGUUGGAUCGAGAACUUGCUGAAAUGUAAAAAGGACUAAGACGAGCCGACCGGACCAGGGGAGACGUGAGCUGCAGAGCCGUGCGUCCAACCACAAGAGCAACACUUUUACUCUCUGCAGUGAUGUUGACCUCAUUUACAAAAUAAAAACAGGACAUCAUAUUUUAAAGAAACUGCAGGCGGCGGGUCACUGCCGUCUGGUCUCACAAAAACAGAGGAAAAAUGAGAAAUAUUUCAAUUUUAUUUCAAAAGACUUUUAAUUUUCAUUUGGACAUUUUCUGCCCCGUGGGCUCAGGUUCACUGUAUCAUAUGUUUUUAUUAUAGUUCCUCUAUUUUAUAAAUAUAAAUAUGUGAAUAAAUGUGAAGUUGUACAGUUCUUGUUCUUUUACAAAUAAAAUUAUUUUUGAUGGAAG